AGUUUAUUUCUUUAUCAGCAUCUUUCUAGAUAACCAGAAAUCUCGCACAGCCUACGGACAGAAAACUGUAACGCUCUGAACAGCAGAGAAACCACAGCUGGUUGAAAAAUGCUGUAACUCCUGUACUGUAUACAUGUGCCUGAGCUUGGAAUGGAAUGGCUGAACUUGUUAACACCAAAAUGUGAAUUCCUUAUCACAAGAGCUCUUUAAAAAACAUUCUAAGCAGCAGGAGAGGAAUUCGGUUUAGUUUAGCUAGCUUUGGGCUGUUCAGAAGUGAAAUAAUCCUUCUGGAUUAGUUUUUAUUCUUUUGGGUUAGUUUUUAUCCUAAGUCUGAUUUUAAACUCCUUUUUUGUGCUUGACCAAGAGCAUCAAUACUGUUGAUCAGGCACAGUUGCGAUCAAAAUUUAAAAGAACAUGUAAAUUGAAGAGAUAAUAGAAUUUUUAAGUGGGUUUUCACAGCUUCAUAUCCAAGAAGCCAAUGACUUUAGGGGAAAAGUUGAGAUUUAAUUUAAACUAACAAAUGAGCAGUCACUCCCAAAGCAAUGCGUACAUAUGACUAUAAAAUACUGCUAGAAGAUGAAUUCUAAGGAAUCUUAUCCCAUGCCUCCAAUUUAACGGUUAUUUUUAACGCAAGAUAUAAAUAUUUGCCUGUGCAAACUUGUAUUUAAGCCUCAGUUUUCGUCAUCCUUAAACAAAAGGCUCAGUUUGUGCCAGUACCUCCAUUAGAUGCAAUUAUAGAAUUAAAUAUUAAUGGUGGCUUCCUUGGAAGAAUUGACCACUUUGAUCAGAACAUGCUGUUGGUAAUGCACCAUCAGCGGUCGCUCUGAUCCUGACGCUUCCUGGAUGCACAGCCACAGCCCCAGGGGAGAGAUUCCAGGAGCCAGCUGGACUCUAACAGUGCCCCAGCCUCACCCCCACGGCCGUGCCCACUGCCUGUGUCUGUAUUUCCAUCUCCUUCCUUACCAGUCCUGCUCUGGAGACUUUGAUCAGAUCCCAAACUCUCUUUCAACACCUCGGCAGGACUCUGAACAGGCCCACACCAGUCACUAACAACCUUCCAGGCCGAAGAGGAGCCAGCCCCAGGGAGCCAGGAGAGCCAUGCCGGACUCCUUCACCAUCCACUUCCUCAAGGUGCUGCGGGAGCUGCUGGCCUUCGUGCUGUUCAGCUACACAGUGCUGCUCGGGGCGCUGCUGCUGGCUGGCUGGACCACCUAUUUCCUGGUGCUAAAAUGAGGGCUCUGUCCCUGCUCCUGCUCCCACUGGCUUUCCAGAGGCACCCAGCUCCACGGCACAGCUCCACACACGGGAUGGAGGCCCCUUCCCCCUGCGCCAAACCUGCGAGAGUUUUCUGCUGUUGCUGCCUCAUCGCUGUCUUAUUUUCCUAUGUAAAAACAAUAAAGGUUAAAAGAAAAGGUA